CAGCAACUUUUGACCCCCUCUCAGAGCUUUGUAUGAUUCUUGAUUCUUAGAGACUUCGCUUCACUCUGUCUCAUUAGCUUUCCCACUCCCUCUCCGCUUCUUCAUCUUCCUGGAAAGUAAGUUUUCACGAAGCCGACCAUUGUUUCGGCGCCAGAGCUGCAGGCCCCGCUACUAUUUCGAGUCUACGCCGACUCAUAGCAGGACGCCGCCGAGGAUCCUCAUUUAAUUACGCUGGCCCCGCGUAUUGAAAUAGCGAUAUGAUCAGGUUUGCUGUGGCGGAAAGGGGAAAAAAAAAAAAAUGAAUAGGAACUACUCCGUACUGUUUACCGCAGAAACAAAGGAGAAUACUACCAUGAAAUGGAUCUUUGCUUGGAUUAUGCAGAUAGAUAUAUAGCUAUGAUUUCCCUGGAAUAAUUAAAGUAUUUAACCAAAAAAAAAAAGAAAAAAAGAAAAAGAAAAAGGAAAAAGGCCCCCAUAAUCCACCAAAGUUCACAGUCUACAGAACACUGCUGUUGCUGAUGAUAGCCCACCAUAUAUCUUCGCCCUGCUGCCGUGUAUACAGACAGGUAUAUCCGGCUCACUGUCUCCUGAUCUCCCUGAAAUCAAGCACGGAAUCUCCCUAGUCUCCAUCCUGCGACCCCGGUAUCCUGGAUAAGCAGGCCUGAUGGAGAAAAUGAGAAUGCGGAGG
rnacentral:sRNA from 1 species